UCCGUAUCUAUCUGUACCCUGUUGCUUCGGCGUGGCCACGGCCCGCCGGAGACUAACAUUUGAACGCUGUCUGAAGUUUGCAGUCUGAGUUUUUAGUUAAACAAUCGUUAAAACUUUCAACAACGGAUCUCUUGGUUCCGGCAUCGAUGAAGAACGCAGCGAAAUGCGAUAAUUAAUGUGAAUUGCAGAAUUCAGUGAAUCAUCGAGUCUUUGAACGCACAUUGCGCCCCCUGGUAUUCCGGGGGGCAUGCCUGUCCGAGCGUCAUUGCUGCCCUCAAGCACGGCUUGUGUGUUGGGCUUCCGUCCCUGGCAACGGGGACGGGCCCAAAAGGCAGUGGCGGCACCAUGUCUGGUCCUCGAGCGUAUGGGGCUUUGUCACCCGCUCCCGUAGGUCCAGCUGGCAGCUAGCCUCGCAACCAAUCUUUUUAACCAGGUUGACCUCGGAUCAGGUAGGGAUACCCGCUGAACUUAAGCAUAUCAAUAAGCGGAGGA
rnacentral:rRNA from 1 species